rnacentral:rRNA from 1 species
GACGAACGCUGGCGGCGUGCUUAACACAUGCAAGUCGAACGGAAAGGCCCUGCUUUUGUGGGGUGCUCGAGUGGCGAACGGGUGAGUAACACGUGAGUAACCUGACCUUGACUUUGGGAUAACUUCAGGAAACUGGGGCUAAUACCGGAUAGGAGCUCCUGCUGCAUGGUGGGGGUUGGAAAGUUUCGGCGGGUGGGGAUGGACUCGCGGCUUAUCAGCUUGUUGGUGGGGUAGUGGCUUACCAAGGAUUUGACGGGUAGCCGGCCUGAGAGGGUGACCGGCCACAUUGGGACUGAGAUACGGCCCAGACUCCUACGGGAGGCAGCAGUGGGGAAUAUUGCACAAUGGGCGGAAGCCUGAUGCAGCAACGCCGCGUGCGGGAUGACGGCCUUCGGGUUGUAAACCGCUUUCGCCUGUGACGAAGCGUGAGUGACGGUAAUGGGUAAAGAAGCACCGGCUAACUACGUG